GACGAACCGAGCGAACGUUGUUCGGAAUCACUGGGCUUAAAGGGCGCGUAGGCGGGUGCUCAAGUCCGGGGUGAAAUCCCACAGCUCAACUGUUGAAUUGCCUCGGAUACUGGGCGUCUCGAGGGUGGCAGGGGUAUGCGGAACUAUCGGUGGAGCGGUGAAAUGCGUUGAUAUCGAUAGGAACUCCGGUGGCGAAGGCGGCAUACUGGUCCACUUCUGACGCUGAGGCGCGAAAGCCAGGGGAGCGAACGGG
rnacentral:rRNA from 1 species